AUUGAACGCUGGCGGCAGGCCUAACGCAUGCAAGUCGAACGGUAACAGGAAGAAGCUUGCUUCUUUGCUGACGAGUGGCGGCCGGGUGAGUAAUGUCUGGGAAACUGCCUGAUGGAGGGGGAUAACUACUGGAAACGGUAGCUAAUACCGCAUAACGUCGCAAGACCAAAGAGGGGGACCUUCGGGCCUCUUGCCAUCGGAUGUGCCCAGAUGGGAUUAGCUAGUAGGUGGGGUAACGGCUCACCUAGGCGACGAUCCCUAGCUGGUCUGAGAGGAUGACCAGCCACACUGGAACUGAGACACGGUCCAGACUCCUACGGGAGGCAGCAGUGGGGAAUAUUGCACAAUGGGCGCAAGCCUGAUGCAGCCAUGCCGCGUGUAUGAAGAAGGCCUUCGGGUUGUAAAGUACUUUCAGCGGGGAGGAAGGGAGUAAAGUUAAUACCUUUGCUCAUUGACGUUACCCGCAGAAGAAGCACCGGCUAACUCCGUG
rnacentral:rRNA from 1 species